UUCUAGCCCUGAUUGAAGUGGAAAGCUCCCGAUUUUUCAUCGGGACUUGGAACGGAAAGCAGGAAUUACC
rnacentral:sRNA from 1 species